CCUACGGGAGGCAGCAGUGGGGAAUAUUGGACAAUGGGCGCAAGCCUGAUCCAGCCAUACCGCGUGUGUGAAGAAGGCCCUAGGGUUGUAAAGCACUUUAAGUUGGGAAGAAAAGUUAUUGGCUAAUACCCAAUGACCGUGACAUUACCUUCAGAAUAAGGACCGGCUAAUUCCGUGCCAGCAGCCGCGGUAAUACGGAAGGUCCAAGCGUUAAUCGGAAUUACUGGGCGUAAAGUGCGCGUAGGUGGUUUAUUAAGUUGGAUGUGAAAUCCCCGGGCUCAACCUGGGAACUGCAUCCAAAACUGAUUCACUAGAGUACGAUAGAGGGAGGUAGAAUUCACAGUGUAGCGGUGGAAUGCGUAGAUAUUGUGAAGAAUACCAAUGGCGAAGGCAGCCUCCUGGAUCUGUACUGACACUGAGGUGCGAAAGCGUGGGUAGCGAACAGGAUUAGAUACCCUGGUAGUCCACGCCGUAAACGAUGUCAACUAGCUGUUGGGGAACUAUGUUCUUCAGUGGCGCAGCUAACGUAGUAAGUUGACCGCCUGGGGAGUACGUCCGCAAGGCUAAAACUCAAAGGAAUUGACGG
rnacentral:rRNA from 1 species